rfam:Trichosporon asahii var. asahii CBS 8904 unplaced genomic scaffold scaffold00105, whole genome shotgun sequence.
GGGCGUCUAGCUCAGUUGGUAGAGCGCGUCAUUAGCAUUCAUCUGCUAGCAUUGACGAGGUCUUUGGUUCGAUUCCUAAGUCGUCCA